rnacentral:rRNA from 1 species
UAGUGUUCUGGGGCCGACUGCGGCGGUAGGUGGGAGGGGGGGGGUGUUGUUCGGAUUGACUGGGCGUAAAGGGCGCGCAGGCGGCUGACCAAGGCAGGGGUGAAAGCCCCGGGCUUAACCUGGGAGGUGCGUCUGGGACUGGUUUGCUAGAGUGCGGGGGAGGAGAGGGGAAUUCCCAGUGUAGAGGUGAAAUUCGUAGAUAUUGGGAAGAACACCGGUGGCGAAGGCGGCUCUCUGGACCGAGACUGACGCUGAGGCGCGAAAGCGUGGGGAGCAAACAGGAUUAGAUACCCGAGUAGC